AUUGAACGCUGGCGGCAGGCCUAACACAUGCAAGUCGGGCGAGGGGCGGACGGGUGAGUAAUGUAUGGGGAUCUGCCUGAUGGCGGGGGAUAACUACUGGAAACGGUAGCUAAUACCGCAUACCAUCAGAUGAACCCAUAUGGGAUUAGCUAGGAGGGGAGGUAACGGCUUACCUAGGCGACUAUCCCUAGCUGGUCGGAGAGGAUGAUGAGCCACAUUGGGACUGAGACACGGCCCAGACUCCUACGGGAGGCAGCAGUGGGGAAUAUUGCACAAUGGGCGCAAGCCUGAUGCAGCCAUGCCGCGUGUAUGAAGAAGGCCUUCGGGUUGUAAAGUACUUGCAGUCGGGAGGCGUUACCGACAGAAGAAGCACCGGCUAACUCCGUGCCAGCAGCCGCGGUAAUAC
rnacentral:rRNA from 1 species